rnacentral:rRNA from 1 species
UACGAAGGGGGCUAGCGUUGUUCGGAUUAACUGGGCGUAAAGGGUGCGUAGGCGGGUUUUUAAGUCAGGGGUGAAAUCCCGAGGCUCAACCUCGGAACUGCCUUUGAUACUGGAAAUCUUGAGUCUGGGAGAGGUGAGUGGAACUGCGAGUGUAGAGGUGAAAUUCGUAGAUAUUCGCAAGAACACCGGUGGCGAAGGCGGCUCACUGGCCCGGAACUGACGCUGAGGCACGAAAGCGUGGGGAGCAAACAGG